GCCACAUAGCUGCCACUUCCUACAAGAACAAGUGUGCCUUUCCAAAUCUACUACAAACAUACUACCAAGCAAAGUAUGCACUUGAUAUUGACCAUUCCCUGAAUAAUUGGCAAAACAAUUGAAACCAUCCAUUUGAUUUUUUUCAACAAUCUUUAAAAUUCUAGGUCUAACCUGUUGGGUCCACUUAGCUUCUCUUAGCCUAGCCAUUCUCAACAUCAAAUAUUUUUGAAUCCUUUGUAACAUCGUAAUAAUCGGUUUAUCUCUUGCAUCUAAAAUUGCAGAAUUAAAUGACUCACACAUGUUAUUCAAUAACAAAUCACAUUUUACCGAUGUUCUGAAAUGAGAUCUGCUCCAAUGGCAAGGUGGCUUAUCAGCUAGCCAUUUCACUGCCUUAUCAGAUUGAUUAUUCAUCACCUCAAUUUCAGCUUCAUAAGUAGGUACAUUAGUUGCCCUUGCUGCUGCCCACAAUCUCUGUUUUAAGGUAAGUCCGGUGUGACCUGCACUUCUAAAAUUAUUAUGCAAAUGUCUAACACAAUGUCUGUGUUCUGCAGCAGGCAUCAGACUCCGUAUAUCAUCGCCUAGCCCUUUUUGUUUGUCAGUGAUGAAGGUCCAAGCAUUUCCAUUCUCAAUUCCCAUAUCCUCGAAAAAGAUCUCCAAAAACCAAGUCCAAGUCUCCCUAUUUUCUACCUCCACAACAGCAAAUGCUAUUGGAAACAUGCCGUUAUUGGCAUCAACACCAACACUUAGGAUCUGACCAGGAUGGGGUCCCUUAAUAUGACAUCCAUCAAAACCCACUAUAGACCUACACCCUUCUUGAAAGCCUUUCUUCAAUGCAGCAAAGCAUAUGUACAACCUUUUAAAAACGGGGUUUUCACCUUGGAAAUCUGUUUUUACUGUGAUAGUACUCCCAGGAUUUCUCACUUUCAACUCUUCCAGGUAAUCCCAAAGCUUGGCAUAUUGCUCAUCUAUACUACCUUCUGUCACUUUUUUUGCAAUUCUCUUUGCUUUGUAAACUUGGUUUUUUGUUAUGUCAAUACCAUAAUGCUUUCUCACAAGUUCCAUGAACCCAGUCACACUCAUAUCGGGUUUUGAUCUAAGCUCCUCAUCAAACCGAUCAGCUAACCAUGAAGAGGUGGCAAAUUUAGAAUGCUCAUCCCUUACACAAAUGUGUUUAGGAUUAAAAGUUUUAAUUCUAACUGUCGGUCCCUUCCCCACAAAAGAGGCAUACAAUUUCCAUUGACAAGGUACUGCAGCUUUUCCUGCACACUUGAUCAGCAAUCCGUUGGAAUCAUUCACUGCCCAAUCUAGCGGUCGACAAACAGACACACCAUAAGCCUUUAUUGCCUCCCUGCAUUGUUUCAUGUUUGGAAAUUCCAACCCUAGAUGAAGAGUGGGAUUAAUUUUAUCUGACUCUCUCCUAUAUUGAGGUAGCUUAGGUGUUUUGAGUUCUUCUUCUAACCCUCAUAUUAGCUUCAUGCUCUUCAGACUCAGACCUAACACUAUCUAAAUCUUCUGAAUUGUAUUCUUCAGUGGAGAUCUCACCAAGUUCUUUAUGUGUUUCUUCAAUAAAAUCAGCUGUUGCAAUCUGAUCAAACAAAAUGUCAUUUGCGUCUACAUUUUUUGCAGCUUUAUCAUCAUCUUCCUCGGAUUGUUCAUAGUCAGAAUCCUUGAACUUAAGAGUAACCCAUCGUCAUCUUCCUCUGUCUCUGAAUCUGUAACCUCUUCAUCUAUUCCUUCUAUAGUGUCUCCAACAACCUCCACACUCUUAUUUUUUCUUCGCAUUCAUCAUCCGCAGUAAACCCCUCAAACUGAACAUCCACAUCAACAAAGGAAGCUGCACACGGAUCACUCCCAAGAUUGUUUAUGAUUUUCCUUAAGUCAACCAAGUAUAACAAAUGCAGCCUAACUUGAGGAGAUAUGAGUGAAACCCACUAAAACACAUCUGCAUCGCAUUCAAUUCGUAAAAAACCCUUUAUUUGGUGUCAAUAGUAAAAACCUGCAGUCUCUUUAUUAUACCCAAGCACUGUAGCAGCCUCAUACAGAUCAAGCAUGGACAUAUAAUCUUUUAGUAUAAUUGUCAACCCAUUGUACAAUACCACCCACAUAUUGACCAGCUUUAAAGUGACCACCAUGGUGUAUUUCAAGUGUGAAUAAGUCAUGAUUACCUACACAACAUACAUCACAAUAUAAAUCAGGGAUCACCAAACAACACUUACUAACCAAAUAUCCACCAAUAUACAACAUUUACUAACCUAACUUGCUAAUUAUUUAAAGAAAGUCAAUAAAAGCAACAACUAAACAUAUUAUAUGUGCAAAGUUGAUAGUAUACAGGAAGUGCCAACAAUGCUACACCAAAAAGAUUAUACCAGCAAAGACCAGCAAAAAAAUAAAAUACUGUAUAGCAAAUCAAAAGACCAUAAUACAGUAAACAAAUUCGAGAUUAUGCAGCUUAGAGAAGGUAAAUUAAGAGACUCGGCAGCACAAGUUAGAUCCACAUCAGGGCCAUGCUCGGGAACCUAGACUUCCAAAUAAACUUGUCAGGACCAAAGGUGGAUGGUUUGGGAACUCGCUCCAAAUUCUUUCAAAAAAGCAAAAAUGCCAACUCAAGGAUGUUGCAGCAGAGUUCAUAAAUAUCUUGAGUUCUUGACUAGUUGGGAUUAAGAAAAUCUGCAACUAUCUUGGAAUCCUAUAUGAACUAGUUAUAAAGUCAGUCCGAGCAUCAAUUUUGGGUUCAGAUACAUAUUAGCUGCAACACAUAUAUUCUUUCCAUUGCAAAUUGCACAAAUACAUGCUCUUUCUCCAAUAUGUGGGAUUUCAGUUUUAGGAGAAAUCUUAGAGAGAAUAUGGUGGUGGAGAUGACAAACUUAUUGAGGCUGCACAAGGUGAUGAUAUUAUAUUAUUUCCAUACAGAAAGGAUGCAAGAAGAUGGUGCUUAGAGACUUCUUUGAACACCUUAAUUAAAUGGGUUAAGCUUAUAAAUGGAAAGUAUGGGAAAGAACCUGAUAGCUUAGAAAUAGUUGCAAAGUUAGCAUGAUCAACGAAAAAUAUUUUGUAAAUGUACAACAAAUAAAUGUAUUGCAAUUUUCAAAAGCCCCCACUCACAACUCUGUGAAUGUACCAAUAAAGGAAUAUAGUAGAAGGAAAUAUACAGGUUAUAAACAGUUUCAUCAAAAGGAAAAAAAUAUAUCUCACUGAUGAGCCACCACAGUUAAACUGACAUUUCUCCAUCACGAUUUUCAUGCAUCACAGCAAUUCAUAACUUAGUAACAGAGGCUGAGCUAGAAGCCUAGAAAAGCCCCUGACAUACCAAGGUGCUCACAGUUGAGGAAAUGAUUACGAUUAGAAACUUAGAAUAGGCACAUAAACCAGUUGAUAGACAAUCUGGUUCAACUUUAAGUGGACUUUCAAACCCUUGAUAUGUAUUAAUGCAGGGAUUUUGAUGUGGAAAGAAAGAUAACUUGGUCAACUUUCAGUUGUUGAUCAACUGGCAUAGCCACCAGGCAAUCGCCAAACAUUAAACCAAAUGCCAGUACAAGUUUGUUGCUCAGUUCUAUCCGACAAGUCACAUAAAUAUGGUACUUACACAAAUGUCUUCUAUCUUUUUCAAUAAAUUACAACCCAUCCCCUUCUUGAAAAAUUUAAAAGGUUGAAUGGCGUGUGGGUGUGGCUGGGCUGGGAUUAGGGUGGGAGGGUGUGGGACGCAUAACUGAAUAAAACAAUCAAGGGACCCCAUAUACACACACGACUGGAAAAAUAACACACAAAGCAAACCUUUCACAUAUUAAACAAACUGAAAAAGAAAAAGUGAAGACUUACUGUAUCUUGGAGGAUGCCCACCAUCCCUGACCACGAUACUCAUCGUUCUCAACUUCAAAACUCAAAAUACCUUCAAUAUUUUCUCAGAUCCAGAGCCAGGCGAAGAAAAAGUGAAGACUUACUGUAGCAAUUUGUUGAUUUCACCGUCUAUUCUCCAUAUCUUUUUCUCAGACUGUAACCCUAGAAUGCCCAAUUCUUUGUGGCUCGCCUUCCCCUGCUUCUCCAUCCAUAUACCCAAAAACGAUUAGGUUUGGUUGUGGUGUAUGAUUACCAUUUGUUGUCCUCACACCAUUAACAUGUGCAGAGCACGUGAUCGAAUUGGAUGGUGAAUUGGAUGGUAAAUCCUAAAAUAUAACGGCAGGGGGUAAAUUGGUGAUUUGCACAAGUUUAUGGGGGUAAUUGGCUAAAAUUAAAGUUCAGGGGGGAAAUUGACUAUUUCUUACAAGUUCAGGGGGUAAAUCAGCGAAUACCCCUUCUUAGUUUUAUGUCUAUUAUAUUAUGAUUAUCAUAGAACGUUUGAGUAUAGAAGUAAUUCUGAUAGGAAGCCUCAAGGCCUACAUCUAAGGCCUUAUAAAGACACCUAUUUGGAUUCAUUCUGCUCUUUGGGCUCGGGUAAUUAUAAGUAUAAUAGUCAUAAUACUUCUGCAAUCAAUGAAACAAACAUUAUAUGUUCGAGUACUGGGUUAGGUCGUGAUUGUGAGCCUCAAGGCCUACACCUAAGGCCCCACAAAAGCACAUUUUAUAACUAAAACAGCCUCUCGGGUAUAUAUACAACUAAAACUCAACAUCUGCCAUGCUAAAGAUGGCAGUGGCAUGCCUGAACACCUAAAAGUUAAUCUUGAUUGUGAGCCUCAAGGCCUACACCUAAGGCCCCACAAAGGCACCUUUCAAAGUUAACUCUGUCAUUCUCUUUCAGCCUUGUCUGACAAGCUCGCCAAUAGAGCAGAAGCCCGACAGAAAGCAUCAACCGCCGCCAACCUCUCGGGGAGCUGUGUGCUCGUCCGUUAGGAAACAUCCCCAACGGGAAUUCUAACCACGAACAAGAAGGACGGGUGUUGGGUCGGAAUUUGGCAUGGGCAUUCGAGAUAGGGUUUGGGGAUAUGAGCUGUCUACAUCGAAGAAGCAAAACCCAAAUACCAAACCCCACAAAAAUAAAAACCCAAUUUUUUUUUCUGCAGAAAAAUCAAUUUCAAGCAAAAACGCUUCAAUCUUUACUCUACAUAGUUGGGUUUUUCUCAAAGUUUUCAAAAACCCACCUCAGGAACUCCAAGAACUGACAUGAUUUGAUCCAAAAAUUAAAAAGAGCAAAUGAGUUUUCUCUUAAACCCUGUUUCCAAUUUCUCCCUCUAUCUGCUUUUGUUAUUCUUUCUCAUCGGUUUUGAGCUCAUCCCAGUUGCUGAAUCUACCAUUGACAUCACCUCCUUGGAAGAAGUGUGCGGGAGGGUGAGUGUAGAGAAGGGGAAUGGGUGGGUAUGGAGGGAGGAUAGGUGCAUGGAAAAGAAAGGAGGAAGAAGAAAGGAGGGGGUCGGGAGGGGUGAAGGUGAACCCCUCAUCUGAAGAGAAGAAAGGAGGAAGAAGAAGAAAAAGAAGAAGAAAAAAAUCCACGUGGACCAUUUAAUGGCACGUGGUGCCCAGUAAUUGUCCACAUGAGCGUCACGUCAUCACUCAACGGGAGACUUAACAGUUUGACUAACGGAUAUAUGAGACUGUCCCAAAAUUUACAUUUUUAGGCAGUGUAAGUUAGGAUUGGGGUAUGUCUAUAUAGGGGUCGAAGUUUUGCUAAAUUACUGCACUAACCAAAUUACCUACCGUCCAUAUCAAAAUUAUGUCACAAAACUAUUAGGUAAUGGUACGGUAUUUGUACCAUACCAUAAAAUUUUCGGUAUGAUAAUAGUAUUCAAAAUCAUUAGGCCAUCUUCAAUCGAAGGGGCUAAAAAAAAAAAAAAUCAAAUUUUGGCCAAAAGAGUGGCCCAAAACAAAGUGGUAAUUACCAUUAUCAUAUCAUACAAACCGAACUAUUUGGCAUGUCAAAAUUCGGUAUACCAAAAGUUUGGCACAGUAANNNNNNNNNNNNNNNNNNNNNNNNNNNNNNNNNNNNNNNNNNNNNNNNNNNNNNNNNNNNNNNNNNNNNNNNNNNNNNNNNNNNNNNNNNNNNNNNNNNNNNNNNNNNNNNNNNNNNNNNNNNNNNNNNNNNNNNNNNNNNNNNNNNNNNNNNNNNNNNNNNNNNNNNNNNNNNNNNNNNNNNNNNNNNNNNNNNNNNNNNNNNNNNNNNNNNNNNNNNNNNNNNNNNNNNNNNNNNNNNNNNNNNNNNNNNNNNNNNNNNNNNNNNNNNNNNNNNNNNNNNNNNNNNNNNNNNNNNNNNNNNNNNNNNNNNNNNNNNNNNNNNNNNNNNNNNNNNNNNNNNNNNNNNNNNNNNNNNNNNNNNNNNNNNNNNNNNNNNNNNNNNNNNNNNNNNNNNNNNNNNNNNNNNNNNNNNNNNNNNNNNNNNNNNNNNNNNNNNNNNNNNNNNNNNNNNNNNNNNNNNNNNNNNNNNNNNNNNNNNNNNNNNNNNNNNNNNNNNNNUAUAUGAAGAAGGAGUUUUGGGCUACCACUUAGAAAGGAAAUGCCUCAUUUGUCAACCCCCUUGAUCAGAGACUUGGGGAACUCCUACCAUAUGCUAUUGCACCUUGAUACUUGGAAGUCUCACGACCACUCAGUAACUUGGAUUUUUCAAGUCUCCAAACGAGAAGUUUUCCUCACUCGGGAAAUUAAGGGAGCAUUACCUUAACCUACAUGCUUCACACACAAAGCUUCAACAUACAAGCUUCAACAAAAGGAAAAAUUCAAAGAACUUAGUGAAGAAUGCCUUGGUGUAUUUAACACAAUACGUUGAAAUGAAGCAAAACUUGUUUAUUGAUAUCUUCGAUAAGUUACAAAUAUGUACAUAUACAUGAAUCAAAAUAAACAAACAAGAGGGAGCCUUCACAAAGGUUGCUCAGGAGAAGUCUCAGCAAUCGGCAGAACCCCAGAAAGAUGAGACACCAGAGGGUGAUUAUUCAGAGCCUCAGUACUAGGCAGAACCUUAGAAGGAGGAGGCACCAAAGGUUGAUCAUUUGGAGCUUCAUUACGCAGUACAGCCCCAUAAGAAGACGAAGGCAAUAAAUGCCUUUGGAACAAACCCACAAACCUCUGAUGAUCAAGUAAAAUCUGACCAUCAAAUUCCUGCAGCUGGUCAAACUUCAUUUUCAUGUUUGUAGCAUAGUCAUGUGCGAGCCUGUGCAACUGUUUAUUCUCAUGCUUAAGCCUUCUGAUCUCCUGUUUGAGACUUAUCACUUUAGCCGCCAAUGAUUUUAACUUGGUGGGUUUGAGCAAAUAGGCAUUGGGCCAUAUUAGACACAGAACCUGCACACUAAACACUGAGAGCCAAAGAAUCCUUAACAGCCAACUCAUCAGACCGUUUGGAAAGUAGUCUGUUAUAUUUGGGAGUGAGAAAGUUCCUGGCCACCACCGCAGCGGUCAUGUCAUUCUUCAUCACAGAAUCCUCAACGGUAAGAUGACCAGUAGGGGAUACGAAGGAUGGGCGCCAUAUGUUGUCUUGAGAAGGCAUGGCUGCCUCUUCACCAAAGUUCAAGUCAAAACGACGGUCGGAAGGGCCAGGCAUUCUCAGCAAUGAUGAAGGAGAAAUGAGGUGCAAUAAAUCUCUGAAGUAAGGGGAAAAUUCCUACAAGCAAUAACUCUUUGAAUGUACUUCUUGCACAUAAUUGGUGCCCUUAUAAAAGAAAGGGCAACAGGGCCGUUGGUUCAAAAAUUGAAAAGGUACCACUCUCUGGAUUUCGAAGAGGCACCACUUUCCACACGCAACAUCAGCUCCUCGGGUACCACAGAUAACUUUGCCAAAGAUCUAUGACAAAGUUUAGACACAUAAAUUUUGAAGGUCCAGCUACCCUACUAUUACCCACAAGGGUAAAGGAACAGCACCACUACUUGAUAAGAAAGUCCCAAUGUGGUCAACCUCUGUGCUCCAUGGCAAGGCAGACUGGCAAAAAUGACCAACCUUUACUCAUAUUCGAGAAAACACUCCCAACAAGAUUGCUUGCUAAAAAAUUGAAGAGGACCGCCUUCCGAAUCUCGAGAGCCAGACUCCCAACAUGAUUACUUUCUCAAAAAUUGAAAAAACACCGCUAUCCAAAUCUCAAGAGUCAAACUCCCAACAAGAUUGCUUUCUCAAAAAUCGAAGAGGCACCGCUCUCCGAAUCUCAAGAGUCAGACUCCAAAUAGGAUUGCUUUCUCAAAAAUCGAAGAGGCACCGUUCUCUGAAUCUCAAGAGCUAGAUCCCCGACAGGAUUGCUUGUUUUGAAAACUGAAGAGGCACUGCUCUUCGAACUUCGAAAGCUAGAUUUCCUCAGAUAAAGCUUGUCUGCAAUCUUCACAUGCAACAUUAGCUUUCCAGAUACCACAUACCACUUUUUCAAAGUGCUCUGACAAAGUUAAAACACGUGAAGCUUGCAGCUCCCACUACAUUGCUAUGAUUAAGAAAGGUAAAGGAAUAGCACUACUACUUAUUGUUAGGGAGACUCCUAUAUAUGUCGACUUCCAUCCUCCACAGCCAGGCAGACCUGCAAAUAAAAAGAAUGCUCAACUAUUCUUCACAUCUGAGAGGGCACUCUCAGCAGAGUCUCUCGAAAUACUCAACUUCUUUUCCUUCCGAUAAUACCUUUGCAAACAAGCCACACCAGAGCAAGAGUAUCUCAUAUCAUCAGGGUUAAAAGCAAGAGUAUCCCAUAUCAUACUUUUUCCCCAUCUUUUCCUUUGGCCUUGUUCUUACCUGCAAGACUAGGAGAAAAAGAACAAUCAGUCAGCACUUGGAAUCAAGCUUCCAGUCAGGAACUGACUGCCUGGAUCCCCUUGCCUAAUUACUUACCUGGCAUUGCUCUCGAGUACUCAUCUUCAACAUCUUAUGCUUCUAGAGAAGAUACCACAUCUGCUUGAGGAACAGAUAGGGCAAGUGAGAAGGAUACAAGGAAGCAUGUGGAGAUAAGUGUAAUAGAACACGUGCCGAUACAUCCACUACUUUGUCAACAAACAAAAGUAUCCCAUAUCAUCAGGGUCGAACGUACUCUAGAUUUGAUAGACUUGUUUUGACCCUCAAAUUCUUGAGUUGGCCUUAUACUUUAGAGGAAACCAGAAAAAACUCUCCAGCCUAGUUCAAGAAUAAGCCUGUGGAAAGUUAAUUCUUUAAAAAGUAAAAGUAUUACUUCUUUAAAAGCAAAAAGUAUCUCAUAUCAUACUUUCUCCAUUUGCUUCUCCUUAUCCUUGUUGCUGUUUACGACACACAAGGAGAAGGAGAACAAUCAACCGGAAGCCGAAGUCGAACCUCCGAUCCAGGUUGCUUGCUUGGAAGUUUGAUUGCUUACCUUGUUUGUUACCUCAUUCGGCAAAUCUCCUAGCUCGGCGACUUGGGGGACUCCUACUAUAGGGUUUGUAUCGAACUUGACUAAGCUCGAAACUACAAUUAAGCUUCAAGUGAAAUUGAUACAUUACCUUGUGCAUCUUCAUCGGUUAAAGAUACCACCUCUGGAUGGAGGAAAAGUACUUCUAGAGAAAAUGCCACAUCUACACAUGAGAUAGAUAAGGCAAGUGAAAAUGAUACCACACUUCGGUACUUAGAAGUUUUGUUUUUACUCAAUAGCUUGGAUCUUGCAAGUCCCAAACCGAGGAGCUUCCUUCACUCAGGAACUUAGGAGAGCACUGUUUGUAUCAUACUUGACCAAUCCCAAAACUACUGAGCACCGGUCAACGUUAUACCAUCAAGGACCCAGAAAGUUUCCUUCCAACUUGGAGGCCAAUCACAGCAUGACACGUGUCGACAUUAGAAGCCAAUCAUAGCGCGACACGUGUCGACAUCAGAAGCCAAUCAUAACACAACACGUGUCAAUGCCAGAAUGAAACUAGAAACUCUCUUCUAUAAAUAGAGAUCAUUCUCUCACAAUAUUUCCUAAUGUCAUUUGUACUAAAUCAUUCACUAGUACUCACAAAAGGAGAGCUUGAACCUAUGUACUUAUGUAAACCCUUCAUAAUUAAUGAGAACUCCUCUACUCCGUGAACGUAGCCAAUCUGGGUGAGCCACGUACAUAUUGUGUUUGCUUCCCUGUCCCUAUCCAUUUACAUACUGAUCCACAUUAGUGACUGGAUCAAUCUAAUGAAGGUCACAAACUUAACACUUUUUGUUGUACCAAAGUCCUCGCUGAUUUUGUGCAUCAACACAGGUUAUUUCGCCUGGUACCAAUUUCACAUAACACGAUUAACAUUCAAUACAUGACCAAAAUUCUUAUCCAAUCCUGAACAUCAAAUGAGGUCAUACAAACAGGGUCUUUGAAAUUCCAAGAGGAAUCAAGAGUGACCUCCAUAUAUGGAAAUAAAGGGAAAGGCUACCCCGAUAACUAAUUUGACCUACAAAAACAAAGCUUUUUCCCACUAGAUGAGGUCAAAUUAACUAAGUUGGCACUAGGUGGGGUCGGCUUAACUAAGUUGACCACAAUAAAGAAAGUAACUAACACAGCUAUUCCUUCGAUGAAACAUAAAAGUAGCAGCUCUAUCACCCGACGAAUCAUAACCCAGAGUCUGUAGAGUACUGAGGGAAAAUAGCCAAUCUUACUAUCUACUGCUUCUUCGAUGUUGUUAGUUUCUAGUAAACCAAAGAUCAUCAAGGCAACCGCAGAAUUAUCCGCAUCUUGUUUUCUUGGAUUUUCAUAUCCCAUUGUAUAUAGCACGCCAUCGAAAGUUGCAAUUUUAGCUGAUGAUACAUAUCUCUUCUUGUGCGCAUGACCAAAUUCUUUCUCAAUUCUACAAUAGCAAAGUAAAUAUGCAUGGAUUGUUUAAAAAUAUUAUCAACAACAUAAUUCCAAAAACACAAUUUUUUUAACUGAAUAUGUUCAUACUCGUAAGUUGGUCUAGGGAUCCUCUUCUUGUCACAAAGCACAUUCAAAUUCUUUAUAGCUUCAUUUUCAGUAACAACUUCAACUGACUCGGAGCUUAUGCCGAAUGUUUUGGACAACUCAAAUAGAGCUUUUCUUGCAGCAUGAAGCCUUGCAAUUGCCAUAUGUUUAUAAGAAGCCGAGGCAACUAAGAUACCAUCAACAUACACACUAGCAGUACUUAAAUUAUGCCAAUAAUUUCUUCCCCCUUUGAUGUUAACCAACUUUCCGUGCUUAUGGCAAAGCUUACACAAUACUGACACAGGGUGAUCUGACAAUCUUUCAAGAGUAAUUAUAGGCUCCAAAAGAGGCUUAAAUUUCUACAAAUGUACCACAGCAGACAAUUAACACAAAAACCACUAGUUAGAGUUCAAACAAACUUCCAAACCCUAAUUAAAAACUUAAUGAAAGGUGUGAAGACCUGUAUUUUAAAAAUAAUACUUAUAUGUUAAUUAAGUGUUAAAUAUAGGGGUAAAUAUCAGUUUACUACCCUCAUGUUUUGUGGUUUUCAACAUUUAGUACAUCAAGGUUUUUUGUCCCAAAGUCAUACCUAAAGUGUAAAUUUUGAGACAAUCUCAUACAUACGUUAGUCAAACUGUUAAGUUUCUUGUUAAGUGAUGAUGUGGCGCCCAUGUGGACAAUGAUUGGGUGCCACGUGUCAUUAAAGGGUCCACAUGAAUAUUAAAAAAAUUAUAAAAAAAAAAUAUGGGCGUUCACCUUCACUCCUCUCUCAUUUUCUUUCCCUUCUUUUCCCUGCACCCAACCUCCUCGCACACCCACCCAUUCCCCUCCUUCUUCAUCCCUUCUUUCCUCUACACUCAUAACCCUCCUCCUCCUCCUUACAACCCUCCUGUCCACAAUCGUCAUUUCACAACCCCAACCCCUCCAGUGAAAAUCAGUCUAACGAGGAGGUUAAAUGCAUCCAUAAAGUAAACGAAAAAUUACCUUGCAAUUUGAUUCUCUAGUUGUGAUUUGCCAUAUUCCGGAGAUUGGGUAUGUGAGAUAUAUGAGUAUUUGGUGACGUCACGUGUCGAUCCUGGAUGUAUGUCAAGAUCGGGGCGUGACACCUCCUCACCUCCACCGAGCAAGACACCGUCUACACAGUUCUGGGCUCCGUUAACCUCGACAUCCCCUGGCGCUCCCUUUUCCUCGACAACCUCUGCCUCUCCGCCCCUUAUGGCGUCAUAUGUGACUUUUUCUACGAAAUCCCCCAUGAGCUUCUCGAAGCUGAAGAAGUUGAAGGUUUUUUAUCUAGGUUACAAUUAUUUUUCCAGAAAUGUUCUUGAAUUGGUGGGAAAUCUCUCUGAGCUGGUGAAUGAGGGGAAUGAUUUGGCUGCUGCGGGAGAGAGAAGUGUUUGGGUUAAAACUUGAACUUUGGACUCAAAAGGGAGUUAGCCUAAAAGAAGGACUGGGAGGGAAGGAGCCCGAAGCUCAGCUAAAGCCCAGAAGGCAGAAAAUGCCUUUUCCCGACUAGGUGCAGAUCAUUUAAACCACUUGCUCACCUAUCUAGAGGCCAAGUGGUGUAGACCAGUCAGCUAAUUAGUCCAAAAGCACUUUACAGUGACAGUACAAGUAAAAAACUGAUGAGUCAUUGCCCUUCAAGCUGCAUUUCGGCAAGAUUAAUGUUAUAGGAGGCCAAGCCAAACUGUCUAUAAAAGAAGAAAGAGAUAUUAGAGAUAAGGACACUUAAACAAACAAAUAAAUACACAAACUCUGCUCAAGCCAGAUUUGCCUUCAACGAAGCUGUAGUCAGCCCAAACCUUCAUCCAUUUCGGGAUCAACCCUCACAAAAAACCUUUGUAAAAGCUCUGCUACCUUGUCUAAAUCUUGUUGUAGUAUCGAUUUCCUUCUGUAAACUCAUCCCCCUAUCCCUCUUUUUAAGCUCUCAAACCCUUUAUAAAUUACAAAGAUAGGAAGUUGCAAGAUGACCAGCCUUACCCGACAAGGUGAAACCUUGCCCGACCCUCUUUGUUUUUGUCUUUUCAUUCAUAAGUCUAGUAAUAUGUUGUAUACUUCCAUUUGUAUCCAAGUUAUUUCUAGCAAGUUAAUGAUGAAAAGACUUCUCAGUUCUUGAAUCCGAUUAGAAUCUGUAUUCACAGUUUAAAUCAGAUAUGAGUUCUAAACCCUCGGGCAUGUAAGAUUGAUCAUUCAAAAGUCAUUGGUCUCAAGGCAUAAAAAAAGAAGUUUAUGUGGACUUAACCCAUCCACGACAGUCUUUGAUAACAAGAAGUCCGAAGUUACUUGGGGUACAAGUAAUCGACCUAUUUCUUAGUUGAGGUAUUUGUCGUUUUCCCCCCUGAACUUGUAAGGAGAUGCCAAUUUCCCCCUUGAACUUUAAUUUUAGCCAAUUACCCCCAUGAACUUUUGUAAUUAGCCAAUUUACCCCCUGAUGUUAGAUUUGAGAAUUUUCCAUCCAAUUUUCCAUCCAACUUGGUCACAUGCAUGGCACAUGCCAAAUUUUUAAGGGUAAAAAAGUAAUUUUAUCCCUAAUGUAGACAUUCUAUCUUUAUUCUUCUUCUCUUCCACUAGUUCACUCUGUACAAUUUUGUCUAAAUUAGCUAUAGAAGUCUAAUUAGCAACUGAAAAAAAUAUUGGCUCAGUGCCCAGUUUACCAAAAUGAAAUUAACGAUUCUUACUUCAAGUGCUUUAAUAAAGUUAACAGCAUCCACAAAAAAUAUGCAACUGACUUAACAGCCUAAACAGCCGUGCACCUAGCAUCCACAAAAAAUAUGCAACAUAUGCAACAGACUUAACAGCCUAAACAGCCGUGCACCUAACUUAACAGCCUAAACAGCCGUGCACCUAGCAUCCACAAAAAAUAUGCAACAGACUUAACAGCCUUGCACCUAGCAUCCACAAAAAAUAUGCAACAGACUUAACAACAUCUACAAAAAAUCUGCUGCAUAAUCCUAUUAAAAGACCAACUUAAUCUCAACACCAAAGGUUUUCAUUAACAGGACGAAAUGCCUUCCAACACAUUAUAGUUAUACUCUCCAUGGUCUUGGUUUUUUGGCAACACGUUGAGGUUGUGAUGCCAUUUCAUUAGCCUUUCUUGUGACUUGAUUCACACGACCGCCUCGGUAUACCUAUUUGAACUCAACACGAAAGCAACAAAAAUGUUAGCAAACCCAAAACAACAAAAAUUAAUGUAUAACAAAUAUUUUUGUUUUUUAAUAAAAAUGACAAAUUCUUGUUAUUACAUGUAGUUUAGAAGUUCCUUGUGGCCUAGUUUGAGAUGGAGCGGCCCCCGAGUGAUGAUGUGCACCAGUUUCCUACAUCAAAACCAUUUAUACUCAAUUAUUUAUGUUCACCUAGCGACUAGAUAAGUGAUAUAACAAAACUCAAAAUAAAUACAAUCCUUGUUGAUCAAAUUACCUCUUUUGUGGGCACAAAACCUUGUUGUGAUUGUAGUAGCCUUUGUGGACAUCUUCUUUUGUUGUGUCCUUCCUCUCCACAGGUUUGGCAAUGCAUUACAACAUCAUAUUUCCUUAGCUUUGUUGGCCCCUUCUUUAUCUCAUCUGGUGCUUUUGUUCUUUUGCCUUUAGGUCUUCCAGGUUGCUUGUGGUAAAAAGGGGGUUUAAUAGGCCUAAGUCCAGUUCUCUUCCACUGUUCUUUUCCAGGCAUAGGAGCAAUAUACCCUUCAUAACACCUAUCAUAAGCUGGCCUUUUGUAAAGUGAGUGAACAAACACUUGUGGACUAGCCUCCUUCCUAGCAAUUGCGGAUAUAGCAUGAGGACAAGGAAUGCCACAUAGCUGCCACUUCCUACAAGAACAAGUGUGCCUUUCCAAAUCUACUACAAACAUACUACCAAGCAAAGUAUGCACUUGAUAUUGACCAUUCCCUGAAUAAUUGGCAAAACAAUUGAAACCAUCCAUUUGAUUUUUUUCAACAAUCUUUAAAAUUCUAGGUCUAACCUGUUGGGUCCACUUAGCUUCUCUUAGCCUAGCCAUUCUCAACAUCAAAUAUUUUUGAAUCCUUUGUAACAUCGUAAUAAUCGGUUUAUCUCUUGCAUCUAAAAUUGCAGAAUUAAAUGACUCACACAUGUUAUUCAAUAACAAAUCACAUUUUACCGAUGUUCUGAAAUGAGAUCUGCUCCAAUGGCAAGGUGGCUUAUCAGCUAGCCAUUUCACUGCCUUAUCAGAUUGAUUAUUCAUCACCUCAAUUUCAGCUUCAUAAGUAGGUACAUUAGUUGCCCUUGCUGCUGCCCACAAUCUCUGUUUUAAGGUAAGUCCGGUGUGACCUGCACUUCUAAAAUUAUUAUGCAAAUGUCUAACACAAUGUCUGUGUUCUGCAGCAGGCAUCAGACUCCGUAUAUCAUCGCCUAGCCCUUUUUGUUUGUCAGUGAUGAAGGUCCAAGCAUUUCCAUUCUCAAUUCCCAUAUCCUCGAAAAAGAUCUCCAAAAACCAAGUCCAAGUCUCCCUAUUUUCUACCUCCACAACAGCAAAUGCUAUUGGAAACAUGCCGUUAUUGGCAUCAACACCAACAGUACUUAGGAUCUGACCAGGAUGGGGUCCCUUAAUAUGACAUCCAUCAAAACCCACUAUAGACCUACACCCUUCUUGAAAGCCUUUCUUCAAUGCAGCAAAGCAUAUGUACAACCUUUUAAAAACGGGGUUUUCACCUUGGAAAUCUGUUUUUACUGUGAUAGUACUCCCAGGAUUUCUCACUUUCAACUCUUCCAGGUAAUCCCAAAGCUUGGCAUAUUGCUCAUCUAUACUACCUUCUGUCACUUUUUUUGCAAUUCUCUUUGCUUUGUAAACUUGGUUUUUUUUGUUAUGUCAAUACCAUAAUGCUUUCUCACAAGUUCCAUGAACCCAGUCACACUCAUAUCGGGUUUUGAUCUAAGCUCCUCAUCAAACCGAUCAGCUAACCAUGAAGAGGUGGCAAAUUUAGAAUGCUCAUCCCUUACACAAAUGUGUUUAGGAUUAAAAGUUUUAAUUCUAACUGUCGGUCCCUUCCCCACAAAAGAGGCAUACAAUUUCCAUUGACAAGGUACUGCAGCUUUUCCUGCACACUUGAUCAGCAAUCCGUUGGAAUCAUUCACUGCCCAAUCUAGCGGUCGACAAACAGACACACCAUAAGCCUUUAUUGCCUCCCUGCAUUGUUUCAUGUUUGGAAAUUCCAACCCUAGAUGAAGAGUGGGAUUAAUUUUAUCUCUCUCUCCUAUAUUGAGGUAGCUUAGGUGUUUUGAGUCUUCUUCUAACCCUCAUAUUGGCUUCAUGUUCUUCAGACUCAGACCUAACACUAUCUAAAUCUUCUGAAUUGUAUUCUUCAGU
rnacentral:lncRNA from 1 species